AAGCAUAUCUAUCUCGGGUUCCUUUCAACUUAGUGACCUGGGCUCCUCUAAGGCAGCCAGGGUUGGCUGUAAAAAUCAAUUUUCUGAGCUCCAAUCUUGCUUCCCUCUUUAGCACAGAUAUUAUUGGACCUUCGCUACCCCUGGGAAAUGAGAAAAAGUGAAGGGUAUAUUGAGGAUGUGCACAAAGCAAGUGGGCGCUAUUCUGGGUUUUGAUCUCCUUUUGCCUCCCCUUGCAGCUUGUGGCUUGGCUGACUUGCUGGAGCUAUCUUCUUUGGAAGCACGUGGGUGCCCUGAAGCUGUUCCUCACUGUACUUCUCGGAACCUGCAGCGCUGCAUCGCUAAUAUUUGAGAGCAAUACCGCAUGGAGGAGAGUCGCGAGGUAUCGGAGCCCCAUUUCAUUAAUCCAGCGAGAGGAAGCGUGUAUGCCCUCCGGAAGAGGGUUAUUUCUCUGAAGAAAUGAUGAGCAUCACAAACAACCAUCCACUGUCUUUUAUCUGGCUGUUCAACGUUGAUAACCUGGGUCAAUGUGCAGUGAACCAUUCUGAGCAUCUCUUCAUACUGCAGUGGAAAUGGGGAGAAUAAUCACUACUCAGUGCUCAGAAGGCAUAAGUAUAGGCCAGGUGGCAGGUGUCUGAGUAAUGACAACAUAUAGUCAACAAGAUGGAGAACUUUGUAUCAUGCUACAGCAGGCACCAGGUGGACAGAUUUGUGCUGACAUUGCACAGAUACCCAAGAAGCACUACAAGUGUUAAAUUAAUCCACGAUUGUUCCAGUGGCUCAUUGAUGGGUUUGUUCCUUCCAUGCAGAUGACAGAAUUGUAAUCACACCUGUUGUCAUGCUGGUUGGUGUUGUGGAUUUCAUAGCAUAGCCAUUCAUUGGGACACAGCCAGCUUAUGGUGUAGUGCAAAUCACUGAGGGCAGCUGAGGUGACAGUGGAAUAACUUUUAACUGGGUGCAGAGCUAGUGGAAACUGAUUAUAUACUUGGUCACCCAAGGAGUACCAAGUAGCAGGCAAUUUGUUUCCUAUUCAAACAAGGUAGCCAAUAUAUGUACUUCGUUAAUCUGCUUCAGAGCAUAUUGACUGCCUCAAAUUACAUAUUUAAGUAUUUUAAUGCUGUCAAAGACUUCUGUAGUGUCUACGCAAAUGUUUUGGGAGUCAUAGCUCAGGGGCAGGGUGUAUGUUUUGUGUGCAGAAGGUCACUGGUUUAAUCUCCAGUAUCUUUAGGUAGGGUUGGGAUUAAUUUUCUUGUCUGAAACUUGGAGAGCCUCUGUAGUGAGCUACAUGGAGCUACUGGUCUGAUUCAGUAUAAGGCAGCUUCUUAUGCUCAAAACAAGACAUGCACAGAGAGGAAGUUAGUCAUCAGGGUGCUAGGAUAGCCAUAGCUAUUAGAGACCAGUGUAAGUUUUAGAACCUUUUUUGCAAUAAAUUUUGAAAU